CGCACCCAAUCACUAGUGUCUCGCGGCUCUCGCCCCACCCCAGCCACCAAACGAGGAACCCUAGCCUCCUUUCUCCUUCCCCUCGACCCCCACGAGCCGCUGCACCCCUCCCUCUCCCUUCCGUGCGUGCGCUCGGCCAAGGACGCCGCCGUCGCCCUCGGCUCCUCCUCCCCCACCUCGCCUUUUUCUCCUCCUUGCCUUCCCAUCGCUCGCGCGCAUGUCGCCGCUGUCGAAGAACAGGACAGUGCGGGUCGCUUCCUCCUUUUCCUCCCAUCGGAUCUAAGGCAUGCGGCCGUGGAGGCGAGCCUCUCCGGUGGCGGCGGCAAAGGGUGACCACAUGGAUCGGUCCCUGCAGGAUAGAGAAGAUGGGAGAGAGGGAGAGAAGGAAGGAGAGGAGGGAGGCCCGAUGGCGGACGGGAGAGGGUCACCGACCGGCGCCGGCGAGGUCAGGUUCGACCUGGUGGUUGGUGGCGGCUCGAUCCACUCCUGGAUCCUUCUUCUUCCACUUCCCCACUGCCUAACACCAAGGAAGAGGGCUGGCCGAGGAAGAGGGCGAGGACGCGGGGAUUGAAGAGGGUGUUCAUGCAUUCAUCGCCUGGCCAAGGACGAGGAUGACGACGUGGGGUGGAGCAUGUCAUCCCUCUGGUUAUCACAUUCCUUUCUGCUACUGGGCUGAGAUGAGGGUUUUCUCCACCGAUUGUGGUGGCCUGAGUCAGAUAUCGACAACCAGAUGCUUGUGGCUACCACACAAAACGUGCUCUCUUGCUGACCUCGAGGUCCAGACGCAAUGGAUUGUCUCCAAGGUGUUUCUCCGACCAGCAACAACAAAACUCCACACUUUCUCAAUUGCGCUGUGAUUGGUUCAUGUCCACCAAGGUCGUUGCGUUGGUCGCGGUACUCGGCUUCCUUUGGGUUUGCUUGCUGUCGAUGAAGAAGAAAGGUGUGAACCAUGUGAAAAUGGACAAACCCACAGUCCUAGAUGGUAAUGAAAAAACUGACACCAACUAGCUCACUCUAUAGAUUUUGUCUAGGCUCAAGCUAACUACGUAUCUGCACCACGAUUGCUCGCUGGGGAUAUAGAUGUAUGCCUAACAUCAGGUUAUUACCACACCAUAGUAGCUGCUCGUUGGGAAUAUAGAUAUAUAUUUCAUUUUGCAGGUUUGAAACAAGCUGGUUCCUUUAUAUGAAAUUGUUUAUUCAUGAUUUGUUAAUGUAGAAAUCAUUUCAUUAAUUAGUUUCGUAUGGUCCGUGUGAUUCAUGCUGCAAUGCUUUUCUUCAGUCGGUUAAUCGUGUAGUAAUUAGACGGUGUAGUACUAUGGCGGUGGUAUACUGAUAUCGUGUAGUAAUUGAUGCUCUGUUCAUGGCUUUUUUCUUAUUUUAUCCUUCUUUGCUUUUUUCCUUCCCUGCAAGAAGAUGUCGAGUCAUGUAAUAUGUUCAAAGAAGAGAGAAUCUGCAUUUUAUGAAUCCUUUCUUCUUUCUUCAUUGUUACUUCAAGUUAGUGAAUUCAUUUAAGUUGUAUUGAGCAGCUUCAUGUGCAUGGUUUCUUCAUCUACACAUCUUAUUCAGUCACGAGGCCUCUAAGAUCUUUUGCCUUUUAGAAAAAGGGAGAUGCCAUUUAGACCUUACUCUUCCAACUUGAUCUUUAACUUGCUAGCAUUUUCCCAAGCAUUUUUUAUUUGCUUCAGAGAAUGAACUCACCUUAUUCAGUGGAUGUGCCAAGUAAAAAAAUUAGAAACUGAACAAUUAGUUCCACUCUUAAAUUUUGUACAACGGUCCAAAUUAUCCAAUAAAUCAGUUGUUAGCAGGGUCUAAUUAUAGAAGUUGAAUCAGUUGUUCCCUCCUCUUCUCUUCGAACCCAGCCCUCUCUUGAGUGUGUCGUGCCCUCUACUACGGUAAAGCACCAGGUCCACGUGAGCUCCUCCUUCAACCCGCGUAUGUAAUUUCUUCCUUUUCCAUGAAUGCACACAUCUAAAGCAUUUUUUUGGGUUCCCUCAUCUAAAUUUCUUCUGAAGUGUGCAGAUUGUUAUUCAUUAUCAGGGAGGACAAUAUUCUUUUCAAGGACUCAUUAGUCCCAGAAUAUUUAGCUGGCAAGAUACAUAUUUUAUGAUUCAUCCAUCUCUCCAAUUCUGACCUUACAUAUCAACCUGUCUUCAUGUACCCUUCUAUAUAUGGUGCUGCUACUUUUUUUUCCUUACAUGGAUAUAUGUAUGAGAUUUCUUUGUUUAGGUAUAUUUGUGCCUGAAAGAAGUUUACAUCUAUUUUCUUGUUAGAUGAGCCUGAAUGAGAAUACUUAUGAGAUCGCAUGAAUGAGAUGUUGACGCCCUGUAUGCUCCAUGUAUCAUUCUUCCCACAUAAUGGUUAGAAUCCCAGUUGUUGAAUCACAAUAGACAAUACCAUAUUUCACAUUUUGUAUAGUCCAACCAAUAAUACAUAUGGAGCCUGGUGAUGGUUAUUGAUAUAUAGUGAUAGUAGUUUCCUGCAUUAAUUAGUUAAUGAGCCACCCUUUUGUUUUCAACUCAAAGUGUUGCAACAGUUAAAUAGAUGUGUUCGUGCCAUUUAGCCCCAAAAUUCAGUUCAGUUUGGCUGUACAUCUAUUGCCGACCCCUUUUCUUAGUACUGAUUGACCUUUAUGUGUUAAUAUUUUAUUGACUUCAUUUUUUCCUUUAGUCCUUCCUCUUGGUGUAUAAUCCUGAUUGUGUGAGUUCCUUUCCUGGUAGGGUAUUUAUGAUUCGGACCAUUCCAUAACAAAAUGCAUAUAUGGCCUCAUGCAUGUUUAUUGCUUGCCUGUGUAUCGUUGUGUUCUUAUCGGUUGUUUUCUGUGCGUUUCGUAGGAUGCGAUCUCUUCUGCCGCUACGUCUCCGUUCGACUCGCCAAGUCUGCAGGCCAGCAUAUUAUUUAGAUUCUUUCUAACUACCUUACUUCGAAGCUCAGUACUGGUCUCCUUCAAGCUACAACCCCAAGGUAUGUCUUCCGAAACAAACAACUAUAAUAUGCUUAUAACUACUUAAUUGCACUCAUGUUUGUGUUUCCUUUUGUACCAAAUCGCCGUGCCCUACCGGCUAUGCUAUAUGCCCACAUAUUUACACAUGUCUCCCUCUUCACUGGUUUUCUUUCAUGCACCAGGCGAGCUCUGGUGGUCAAGCUGAUGCUUCUUCGCCUCAUGUUGAAGAAAAGGAUGAUAAGGAUGUCCAUGCUCGAGUGACCAGGAAUAAUUGGGGAUCCUCAGAUAACUUCCGAAGCGAGGAGUUAAUCUUCGACAUAGUCCCGUUUCGCAAUGGCUAUCACGCACUGCUUGGACGAACUGCAUUUGCAAAGUUCAAUGCGGUGCCGCACUAUGCAUACCUCAAGCUCAAGAUGCUAGGCCCUCGAGGAGUCAUUACGGUCAAAGGAAACAUCGAACGCUCUCUCUGAACGGAGGAGCAUACGGCGGCUCUUGUGGCGGAAGUACAAAGCAGCCUCUCAAGGCA